GUGAAUCAUCAAAUCUUUGAACGCAAAUGGCACUCCCUGGUAUUCCGGGGAGUAUGCCUGUUUGAGGGUCGUUAGAAUAAAAAAUCGAGGCAUCGCUCUUUUUUUUAAGGGUGAUCGCGUCGGAAUUGAGCCGACUUUCAAAUGUUAAUUCAUGUCAAAGUGGCUUAAAAUUCAUCCUUCCGGUACGAUUAAAGCGUAUUUAAAAUCAAUUUUGUUCAAUAACGCGCGAUUACGUACCAUUGC
rnacentral:misc_RNA from 1 species